UCGAGGAUCUUCGGCAAUGGACGCAAGUCUGACCGAGCGACGCCGCGUGCGGGAUGAAGGCCUUCGGGUUGUAAACCGCUGUCAGUUGGGAGGAAAUCACAUGGGGUUCUCUCCAUGUGUUGACCUAUCUUCAGAGGAAGGACGGGCUAAGUUCGUGCCAGCAGCCGCGGUAAGACGAACCGUCCAAACGUUAUUCGGAAUUACUGGGCUUAAAGGGUGCGUAGGCGGCCCUGUAAGUUGGGUGUGAAAUCCCUCGGCUCAACCGAGGAAUUGCGCCCAAUACUGCAGGGCUAGAGGAAGAUAGAGGUGAGCGGAACUUGUGGUGGAGCGGUGAAAUGCGUUGAUAUCACAAGGAACACCUGUGGCGAAAGCGGCUCACUGGGUCUUUUCUGACGCUGAGGCACGAAAGCUGGGGGAGCGAACG
rnacentral:rRNA from 1 species